UUCCUUUUCACUUUUAGCGUUUAGCGUCCUCCGUUCAAUGUUCAAGAGUCAUGACGUUCAUGUUCUAUCUUGAAAUUUAAUUAGUUUCGUGCAGAAGUUUCUCUCGCUUUUAUGAAAAUAAAAUAAAAGUUUCAUAAACAUUACUAUGGCUCGUCCACACUAUUGCAACAGGUUGCAUGUAACAUACGUGACCCUGGCUGAUUGACUUCAAAGACAAAGAAAACAAAGUCUUGAAUGAAAUAAUUUGGAAGUCUUCGCGCUUGUGAUAUCUGUCCAGUGAAACCUUUAAGUAUGGAAGGAAGGCUUCACUUCACUGCGCGACUGCUAGUGAUGUCGAGUUCUUGGGAGAUCUUGGGAGAAUUAAGACUUGGGAACCUUAAAGAAAAGAGCGUACUCAUUCCUUAAAGGCCAGCAACACACUUGCAUGGCCCUGGUGUUGCAGAUGUCCAUAUCCGGUAGUCACUCUUCAUCAGAUGAGCCUCCUGCUCUAUGCCACCUACAACAUAAAAAAAAAACCAACUUUCCCCGUGGCUUCACCCACAUAAAUGUUUAAUUUUAUAAUCACUCAAAUGGAAUGUUAUUUAUAAAGUAUAUUUCUUCUGUGAAAUAAUUAUUAAAAACAAAUUGUUCCUCUAUAAUGAUGAUGACGUCCUGAUCGAUCAAGGGACUAGUCGGCUACGCAGGACAUGUUACGGUGCACGAGUGUGUGAUAGCUGCACCCUAUACCCUCGCUCAUAAGGAGACGGGACGACAACACCGACACGCCAGAAAGAGUUCAGGCGUAGGACCAACGGCUUUAUAUUCUAUUCUAGAUCACAAAUUUCAAGACUUACCUGUCACUGAGUUAAUUGUUUGACAGAAACAGCCAAAUCCGUUUAUCAGAUCUGGUUCUUCAACCAAUCUCGGGAUAUGUGACUUAUAAUAUCUAGCCACAGAACGAGGCAGUCAACUGUAAAUAUUAGUCAUUAGUAAUGAUAUUGCUUUGUUUUGAUAAAAUAAGUUAGUAUAAUUAUAUUUAGUGGACUUUCUGAUUUGAGUUUUGUUCUUUGUUUUGUGUUAGUUGAGUGGUUUGUUGAGCAAACGUUGCAGAAAAUCUCUUGUAUCCUGCUCUUGUUCUUGUAUGUGACAAAACUUCAUGAUUGGUUGAACAGUUAUGAUGUGGAAGCGUUACAAGUAAACCAAGUCACUUAAUUGGUCAG